rnacentral:lncRNA from 1 species
UAGACUCAUGUAAUUGACAUUGUUAUUUCAUAAAAUAGACUUUUUGAUUUAUUAUAUACUGCAUCUUAUUAGUGUUUUUAAGAUUAUAAUAAACUCCAUAGGUCUGGACAAUAGUUUUAAGGUCGUGAUGAGAUCACGUCAGUGAGACCUAAAUCUUUGAUAGCUAUGAUCUAAAAAUAUUUUCAAUCAUUGAUUCAUUGAGUCGGAGAUCAAUGAUACCAAUAAGACUAGCACGUCCUAUGUAUGCUCAAUGAUGAAGAUAGUUGAUCUCAUAACCUCUUGGAUGGUAACACUAAUAUAAAGAUACGAAUGCUCAUUAGAGAAUGAGUUCACUAAAUAGACCUUUGAAAGAAUAUCUGAUGAAGUCUUAUUUACAUGUCAACUGAUUGUUCUCUAGUGGGAGUUGUGUAAGUGAUCCUGACCUGAGAUCACCAUGGUACCUUGUGUACGUGAAUCCAUAUUUUGAUUCACUUCCUAACUUGAUUCUCUGAUCCUUGUGUGAGAUAUUCUGGAUGUGGUAAAGUAUGCAUGGA